GAGGAGGAGUGCAAGCUCCGAAUUGAAGCCCCAGUAAACGGCGGCCGUAACUAUAACGGUCCUAAGGUAGCGAAAUUCCUUGUCGGGUAAGUUCCGACCUGCACGAAUGGCGUAACGACUUCCCCGCUGUCUCAACCAUGAACUCGGCGGUCGACGCGGCCGCGGCCGCGUCGACGCGGGAGAACCAGCAGCGAGGAGAUCGGCAGGCCGGCUAUGUUGAGAACAAGCACGAGCUGCGGCAACAUCCAUGCAAGGAUGAUCGGCAGUUCCGCUCUUAGCGGCCCGCUGGCGAUCACCCACGGCCGCCGCGCCACGAUGAGCGCGCCGCUCAACAAUAGGGCCAGAUCGUAGUUGUGGAUGUAGGGGGUGAUCAGAACCGUCGCCAGCAACAGGAGUGCGGCGCGGCGUUCCGGGUCGUGGACACGCCAGAUGCGCCACGCGAAAACGAGGCCGACACCGCAGGCGAAGGCGGCGUGGAUCGCCAGGGCGAAGGCGGAGUUUCCGGUCACGAUGCGCAAGCCC
rnacentral:rRNA from 1 species